rnacentral:lncRNA from 1 species
AUGCAGAGAUUCUUUUCUGCAGCUCAGACACCAGCCAGAAUAGAACCUGUAAGGUGGUUGGAGCGCUUGUGAUGCUCUCUGUUUUGUGGAUUAGAAGAUGGAGGUACAGAGGCUUGUCAUUUUCCCAGGUUAGUGAUGACGACAUUGGUCUACAUUGCUAGUCUUCAGCUGUGCAGCCACCUUAGACAAAAUUAUAACCCAAAUACUGUAUUUCUGCUUUUCCUUGUGAAUGUCAGUAUAAGCAUACUAGGUGAAAGACUUCAGCUUUAAGAGCUUUGCUAUAAGGAGACUGCCUGUGGCUUGGCGGUGGUUCGGCCUGGAGACCAGCACUGUCUAGAAUACUUCUGAGCUCCUUCUGAAUGAGUAUUUGACUACAUGGAUCGAAACAAGCCAGCUCAGUGGCUCCUAUGCAGGGAUGGAGAUGAUCCAGGCUGGACCAAUCAGCUGGGAACUAAGGGGAAAGGAAA